rnacentral:miRNA from 1 species
AAGAAGACGACAUUUUGUUG